rnacentral:rRNA from 1 species
UACGUAGGGUGCGAGCGUUAAUCGGAAUUACUGGGCGUAAAGCGUGCGCAGGCGGCUUGCCAAGUCAGAUGUGAAAGCCCCGGGCUCAACCCGGGAACGGCGUUUGAAACUGGCAGGCUAGAGUUUGGCAGAGGGGGGGUGGAAUUCCACGUGUAGCAGUGAAAUGCGUAGAGAUGUGGAGGAACACCGAUGGCGAAGGCAGCCCCCUGGGCCAAAACUGACGCUCAGGCACGAAAGCGUGGGGAGCAAACGAGG